GGAGAAAUGGCUUGAAAUUAUUUUCAGAACCAGAGCGAUUACAUCAGAACUGAAGAAACGAACAUCCAAUAACAAUAUAUAUUCCAUAAGGUAGAUACUGUACAUAGGAACUGAAUUUUGGUGGGGAAGCAUAAUCAUAGUUCAUAAUUUUUAUUUCAUUUAACUUUCAUUUUAAUAUCUUUGUACAUAUACUUGAAAUUUCUGGAAUGUUAUUGGGAACUUUGGUAUAUUCAAAUAUAUUUUACUAAUCUCUUGGUGAUCACUUUAGGCCAUUCUGAUGUCACAUGAAGUAACUU